GUUGGGGUAGCAAAAAUAUAAUGCAUUAGAUUUAGGAUCUAAAGAUGAGGGCUAUUCUCCCCUAACU
rnacentral:tRNA from 1 species